rnacentral:rRNA from 1 species
GACGAACGCUGGCGGCGUGCCUAAUACAUGCAAGUCGAACGCAGUGGGGACGGGUGAGUAACCCGUGGGUAACCUCCCAUCAGAUGGGAUAACACUUGGAAACAGGUGCUCAACCGAUACUCCUCGUUGGACCCUCGUUGCAUUAGCUAGUUGGUGAGGUAACGGCUCACCAACGCCACGAUGCAUAGCCGAGCUGAGAGGGUGAUCGGCCACACUGGGACUGAGACACGGCCCAGACUCCUACGGGAGGCAGAAGUAGGGAAUCUUCGGCAAUGGACGAAAGUCUGACCGAGCAACGCCGCGUGAGUGAAGAAGGUUUUCGGAUCGUAAAACACUGUUGUUAGAGAAGCGGUAACUAAAGAGAAAGCAACGGCUAACUACGUGCCAGCAGCCGCGGUAAUAG